UUUUCUCCAAGGUAUUCAUGGAACACUUAUCCUGCUAGGCCUGAGGGAAGUGAGGAGGGGGCAAUCUGAUAAGUCUCCAUGCUCCUGGAGCACACCUUCUAGGCAGGCGGAGACCAAAAGGCAAAGGAAUGAACCCUUUGUUGCGUGCAGUUACACGCUGUGGAGAAAAAGUAAACCUGAAAGAGGAUGGGGAGUUGGUUAUAAUUUAAAAUAGCGUAGUCAAAGCAGACCUCACUGAGAAAGUGAUAUUUAAGUAAGGACCUGAAGGAGAGAUGAGGGAGCCAGGUGGACACUGUAGGUAGAGGGGAUCGCAAGUGCAGAGGCCCCGAGGCAAGAGUCCACUGGCAUGUGUGAAGAAGUGCGAGCAGGUGCAGCUGGAGGGAGCGGACAAGGAGAAGACAACUGAACGCCGGGUCUGAGGGACAGUGGGAAGACGGGCAGAGCAUGUAUAUUGUGUCUGGGUGUGCCCCAUGUAAGUGCUCCCCUAUCUUGCCAACAGUCUCUCGAUGAAGCCCAUCUGAAGAAUGGCUGACCAGAGGAGAGAUGAGGAACCCGGGUUCUUGAGGACGUUGAGCACCCAAAUCGGCUGAUCCUGGAGCUCAUUUCUUAUGUUCACUGAAGCUGGAGGUUCCGUUUCUUGCCUUCAGAGGCAUCCUAACACAAAUAAUUAUCUUCUUAGAACCCAAGCAUCUUCUCCAAGGGGUUAUCAUGGAAGGAGGAGCUGAGAUGUGCCUUCCCUGCGGGUAGCUAAAUACAGGCUUGCUGAAGUGCCUUUACAGCAGCCUGAGGGGCCUGGGCUGUGAUGUGCAGAGAAGAGCAAGGUGACCCUACUGCCAUGGCCAUCCCCAGCUCUCCUGGCUUGUAGAGGGUGUGUAUGAGGACUCAGGAGCCAGUUCCACGAGCCACAGGCCCCCUGUUC